ensembl:lncRNA
CAGAAUUAAGUAUAGCUGCAAACCUGCUAUGUGUGUGCAUUUUUUUGAUGGAAAUCACCCACUAGGCUGUAGCAUAUGUAUGGCUGAGUAAUAGCUUCUUCUGUGCUGAGCUGGCUGCGGCUCAUCGUUCGCUGCACAUUCACUCCAUGUUAAAGGCCAGACCCUGCUUCAUUACACAGUGUCUUAACCUUGUUUUGCCCUUCUAUCCAAUGACAGCUGCUUUGUUUCCUUUCGCUAGCAGUCAAACAUCACAAAUUCCUUCUCUGUAAAGCCAUUAAAAGAGAACCAACACCACCCCAAGUGGUUUCAGGACUAACUGAUUUAGAUGCUGGAGUCUGUUGCAGGGCCAAAAAUAACUCCCCAUUUCUUUCUCCUUCAUUGGUGAAAGGAGAAGAGAAAGUGGCCAAUGACAGAGACACAACUUCCCCGUAGGCACCAGAGACAAAUCUAUUUCAUAGCAGGAAAAAAAAAUAAUGCUCCUGAAAAAUGUUUCUUUGCUCGGGCCAAUAGACACAGAACCGCUGCAUGUAAUUUUGCUGAACCGAUGGUAUCACUUGAAUGGCUCACGGACUACAUAAAAUGCAUUACAUAAUUAUAUUUUUAAACACUGUCCCCAGCUGUGCUGAUGCACACAAAAGCUGUGUUUACAAUGGACUCUGCACAUGUAAUUAUUUUGUGGCACUAGCUCCGCGCAUUUCCUUGAUGGAUGCUCCAUGGUGCAUAAAAUUGUAGCUUUUAUCAAGAUUCUUGGAUGUAUUCUUUGGCUGUUUCAGCUUUAAACACCCAGCUGUCCUCACAUGGGUGUGCAGGCCUGAUGUCUGGGAGGGGUAAGUUAUAGCAUCUGGGGAACACCUUGCUCUGGGAGCUGCAGGGGGGAACGGUGAUCAGCUGGAAGCAUGCUGAGCAGCAGAGCCUGCUGCUCCUCUCAGGGAGGUUUGCUGCGCUGUUCCUUGGGAUGUGGCACCUGCUCUGCUCCUAUUUGUCUUGCACAUCUUCAUCCUAGCCCCGUUAAGGCUGUAGCAACCCGACCCAGCCACUUUGCAGCACAGGGGGGCGAGGUGGUGCCUUGCAUCUGUGCAGGUGCAGGAGAGAAGGGGCUGCAGGCUGUGGUUGCAAAGUCAAACAGCGUGGCUUGCAGGGUACCAGACCCAAAGAUCAGCUUUGGUUUGUAUUCUGUUCCGUUUGCAUACAGAAAGCUCCCUUGGCUGUUCUCCAUCCUGUUCUGGAAUACCGAGUGUUUCUCCAUCUGAACGCAGUGGCUGAUGUGUGGGACUCAGCAAAGAGGACAGUGGGAUAUUUAUCUUAGAUCUGUUCCAGUGCUCUUGAGUAUUAAUAUCACUGUGAAAACCUAGAUGCUGGAAGGAUCGGUACGCAUCACGGUCCAAGAGUUUUGCCUGCCAAGCAGUAAAGCUUGGAAAUAAAUAAAGACAAAAAGUAAUAGUCCUGAGCAUCGGUUUCAAAGUAAUGGGAUAGCAGCACUGCUGGUAGCGACCUUUUUAUUACUAUCACUGCAGAGAACUGGCGGAUUUUUCUUGUCAAUAAGCAAGAUGGCUUGGCACCGUAUCUCUCAUCCCUUGGGUACGAGACUCCACAGAGGAAAUGCUGAUGUUGUCGUGAGCCAAUUUUUAAUAGCAGGUGUUUGGUUGGAACUCCAGCCUGCCUUGUGGCAGCAGGGAGUGCGAGUCCUUCUGUUACCAUUCCUUGCUCUUUUCAGCCCUGCGUUUGACUGUGGAAGCUGAGAGCCUGGGGGAAGUUGCGCCAUGUAAAGCAGUCAUUGCUCAAUAGUGAAUGAGUUAUUCCACAGCAAAUGGUCUGGCUGCUGGUACACCAAGUUUUCCACUCUCACAUGAAUACAGUCAUUUCCCAUCAUGGAAACUGUGUGGCUAUGGAUGCCCUUAGCAUUCCCCCUGUCUGGCAUGUUAAGUUUACAUACCAGCUUUGAGGCUGCUGGUCCGUUUUGCACCAAAGGGUCAGGCGAUGGAGGAAGAAUCUCUGGAGUGGAAAAAAUGUGGAACUGCAGAAGUUUAUUGUAUGUUUGUUUGCAUAGCCUGCCUUCCAGAUAAAUCGCAUCUCUCCUAGUACAGCAGCGCUGGAAAAAGAGCCCUUGGAUGACCCACUUGGAGUCUGAGACACCAGAGGGGCUACUUCAGAAAAGAAAGCAGAGGAAGGCGCCAGAAGCCAUGCAGAAGAAACACAUCUGGAGUAAGCAGUGCUUUGUGUUGUCCACGUGUGUGCACGUGCUGCAUCUGGAUCACAAGCCAUUGUUAUUUUAUUGGGGAUAGUGUGUCUUGUACAUAUACAGACUGCAUUUUUCACCCUGCAUGCUUCUUACUAAGGCAUAACGUAUUACUUUCUCAAGGGCCCAUUUCCUACUGCUCCCUUUAUCUUCCCUUAGGGAGCCCCACUAGAGUCCAUCAGCCACCUAGGCCAAAAAUAUGUUUUUCAAAUGCCUGAUCAUCUAAUACCAAUCAGCAUAAUUCCACCUGCUUUGAUAAAGCUGUGACUUAAGCCAGUGAAGAUCAAACUCCUUGAUAUUUAAUGCAACAUAGAUAAGCUCAAAAACUUGUGAGCAAGGAAUAUUUCUAGGUGUAACACGUUUCUGCCAUUACUCCACGAUAUUAGCUGCAGUUUCUUGCUGCAGAUGCUUGUUCAAGGCUCAUGUUUAUCUUUAGAGAAGAUGGAAAUAGGAGUUGCCUGUCUUUUGCAAAAUGCUGAUGCUGUGUACAAGCAGAAGUAAGAAUUCACGCAGAAGUGAAGACAAGUCUUGCAGUUCAACAGGAAGAAAACAGAUGUCUUUAGACUGCUGUUUGAACCUUGACCAUUGCCCUUUUGUACCUCUGAGUCACCAGAGGCUUCUGUUUCCAAAAACAAGAUAAUGCCUUGAAGAGCCAAAGUUCAGUGUAAAUUAUGUCACGACUAUAGGAGCUGAGGUGUCAUCUUUGCUGCAGCGAUUCCCUCUUGGAAAUGUUCGAUAAAGCGUGGAAGAAAGUGGCACUGACUCGAUAUAUCUCUGGAGCACUGCAAGUCCAUUCCUGCCAUACUACUAACUGAGGGAAGCGUUUUCUUUUUUUAAUUCCACAAAGCUCUAUAACUGUAUUAUCCAAGCAGCUAAGCACUCAGAUUACGUAAGCUGAACAUAAUAGGAGGUCUGUAAAACUUUGCUGCUCACAGUCUUGGAAAUUUCUACAUUGCUAUUUAAUGGUGACUCAGCUGCAGAUCUCCCAGAUGAUCUCGGAGAACACAUGAUGGGGUUCCGUCUUUGGGAGAGCAGAAUGUGGCCCUCAAGUAUGGCCGCGGCUGGGGCCUUGCUCUCCUGUGCACCCUCAGCUGCUCUGAGAGGUCUUGAGCUGCUGAUCAGCAGAUACUCACUGCCACACCUUCCGGUUCUGUCCUUCUAGGAAUGUUUACCUUGUGUUUUCAAAGCAAUCCACCUCCUGAUUUGCACAGCAGGAGAAUUUAACUGUCGUGCCAGAUAGCAACCUCAAAAUGUACUUUUACGGUCUGUUUCUUCUAAAGGAUAUUUUUGGCCGUAUAAGUGAUGUUUUAAGAAUAAUUUGACUAAGCACUAUUUUUAUGACAUGUAUAGCUUCAUAGCGCAUUACUAACCAUAUGGCCAAACACAGUGCCUGAAGUUACAUGGCAGAGUUUACUGCCCAGUCGGAAUGAAAAACAUCUAUUUUUGAAUGGCUGUGUAUUGGGGGGAAAAACAUGAGUCUUAUGGGAAGCAGCUGAAGGAACUGGGAUUGUUGAGUCUGGAGUAGAGGAGGCUCAGGGGAGAUCUUAUUGCUCUCUACAGCUGCCUGAAAGGAGGUUGUGAUGAGGUAGGUGUUGGCCUCUUCUCCCAGGUAACAGCGAGUGAUAGGACAAGAGGGAAUGGCUUCAAUUUGAGUCAGGGGAGUUUCGGUUGGGGUAUUAGGAAAAACUUCUUCACAUAAAGAGUGGUCAAGCCUUGGGACAGGCUGUCCAGGGAGGUGGAGCAGUCACUGGCCCUGGAGGUGUUGAAGGAAGGGGAAGAUGUUGUACUAAGGGACGUGGUUUAGUGGGAAAUAUUGGUGGAGGGUGGACGGUUGGACUAGAUGAUCUUAGAGGUCUUUUCCAACUCUAAUGAUUCUGUGAUUCUAUGAUUAUAUUUAAAAGUCACAACCUUGUGACCUUUCUUGGUUUUCUUGGUUUUCCCUUGGUCUUGAAUGAGGCUCAUCAUCGUAUCUUACCUAGAUCUUAUCUUGGCAGUGGUAAGAGCUCAUGAGGCCAGAUGGCUCAUGGAAUGACUGGUGAGGGCUUUGUGGUGAAACUAUGUCAACUGUGACUGAAGUUUAUCAUUGGCAUUAUUUGACAGUGUAGGGUAUGUGAGCCCAGCUUGCUGUAGAGAUGUGUCUUCAAUGUGAAAUCCACUGACUCAGUUUGUAUCCGUUAGUGUUGGGCAGAAACACCAAGCACUGAUGUGGCACAGUGAUGAACUGCGCUCAGACGUAGCCUCUCUGGAUUAGAGCUGGGCUGUUCCAUGAGGCCAAUGAUGUUUCCAUUACUUUGUGUUUUCCUCUUCUGCAGACAAAUCAUUCCAGUCAGAUGCAUGCACACACUGGGAUGUUCAUGCAGAAACCCAGACUGGUUCUCCCAGGACCAGGCCCAACUACUCAGUUGGGACUGCCUUACUAACUGAGGCGUAACAGUAGUUAGGUGGGCCUCGAUGCAAAUGUCGCAGGGGGUUUCCCUGCAUGUUUCCAAUGUAUGACUCUACUGAAAUAUCCUCCUUCAGCUUGCUUGGUCACCAUCCCUGGCAUCUGCAAUGCUUUGUGGGUAGCUUUACUGUUCUCGUAAUACCAGCAGCUCUUGUACAAUCUCAAAUCAGCAGUUGUUCUCUUAAGUCAACGCAGGUUUCACCUAUCAUAUUGACUCAGUAGCACACUGCAAAAUUCACCUACUCCCUUAUUCUGCCAAUGAUCACAUCCUAUUACCUGUAAAGCGAUGAUCAACUUCCCCAUUUCUGCCAUAAAACGUAAUUUCCUGUGAGAAAGAACAAGCUCCACCUUCAGAGGGUUGCAAAUGAAACAGGGUGUGUUCAGGGGGUAGGAAGGGGACAUUUGCUGGUUUUGCUCUCGGGAGCCAGGAGACAAAGUGGGGAUCAGGGAAGUCAAGAGCUUUAGCCCUGGCUUUGGUAACGAUUUUCUGUAUGGCCUUUUGUGAGCUCUUUCACGUCUCCACCUCGUUCUGCCCAAGCCUAAAAUGGAGCUCAGAAUCGUCACUUUUCUAACACCUCCCCCUCCCCACACACGGAGGGAGUUGUGAGCAGGUUUAAUGUUUAUCUCGGAGGCUUUGAACGGUAUCAUCCAUCCAGGGAAUGUAUGCGGGCAUUCAGACCCCACAGUGAGCUUUAUAAAAUCGUCAAGAAAUAAAAAGGCAUCUAUAUUAAUCAUAAAUCAAGGACUGGAACAGAACACUUGGUUAACAAACCUGCGAAACAAGCUUUGUUUCAUUGGCUUGCGCUGCUUUAUGGUUCUGUUUGUGUAUGUGGAAGUGAUGUUCAGUAUUUUUAAAUGAGUCACAGGACUGGAAGAACAAAAAUAUUGGAUGGUAACAUAUAGCAGCAAAACAAUUACUCUUUUCAUUCUGACAAGCACAAUAACCAGAAUAGCUAGUUAGAGCUGGAGGUCUGGGCACAGAGCUCCUUUCGAUCUACCAGAGAUUUUCGAUCUACUUGCAAGACAGGCAAGCAGAACUGAAAUGUUAUAAUGAUAAAAGAUAGCAUUAGGUGAAACAAUAAAAUCAAGCAUGCCGUUGGGGUAUGGGUAUUUACAGGCAUGAAGGCUCUCCCGAUCAGUGCUGCAUGCAGAAUGCUCCCACAGCCAGCCUCGUCUAGCAGCUUUCUGUACCUUUAUCCAGAGGAGACUCCUUUCCACCCUGCUUGCUGCAUUGCACCACUGAUUUAGUGAAGACAUCAUCCUCAUAAGGAUGCUCUUCUAACUCACCUCUGAAAUCUGCUUGCUUUUCUCCUCUGACAAUUAGGUUUAAAUGUGCUGCAGCAAAGUACUCAUCCUUAACAGUCGUAUGGCUUUUUAAGUGAUAAACUGCAUUAGCAAAUUCCUUAUUAGAUAAUCUAUCAAAUGAGGUCAUACGUAAUUUUAGCAGUCUCAUCUUGAUUUAUAACACGAUCGCAGCAAAUUACGCAUAGGAGAGCAGCGUGCUGGCUGUCACACUCAGGUGCUCUCACUGUGCUGGGACAGCAGUGCCCAGGCUGGCCGGCAGCUGGCAGCCCUCCCUGUUGCCACAGUGGGACCCAGCUGACUUAGAGCCCUGGGGCUCAGCCCUGGCUUUCUUGGGACCCAUAGGACGUCGAGGCAGGUGUCUAAGCCCUUGCUCCAAACCUCCUAGCAGUAGUCCUUUGUGGUGUUCGUUCUGACAGGCUUUCCCCUUAAAUAGGGGCAUCAGCUCUCCAAAAAGCCAGCUGAUGGGUGGGGUGCCUGCCUGCAGCCUGGCUGCCCGCCAGCCAAAGCCCAAGUGAUGAAAUCCAGGGGGAAAGGGAGGGGAAACACCGCUUCAGAAGGACGCUGUGCUGCUGCUGCUGCAGAUCCUCCAUCCCCACAGUGGAGGUGCUCCCGGGACCGGGAGGAGACGCAAUUCCUAUCCCCCAGCUGCAAACUUCUUCCACAAACAUUAUUUUAUCCUUUGAGAUUUAUCUGUAACUCCCGCAGGGGGAGCUGCAAUAAAUUAUCUGGCCUCGCCCUUCUCCUCACCUGCUCUCACCUCACGUUGGUAUUUCUGGGGUCUGAGCUGUGCUGAGCCUCGAGGGCUCGUGUCAUCUGCAUGUCUCAGAAUAACUUAUGUCUCUCCCUCUGUACUUACGGCCAAACCCUGCCCGGGAAGGACAAAGGAGGAUGGAACGAGAUUUAUCCCUCGGCAUUGUAGGUAUCUGCCCCUAAGCUGUAAAAUAAGAGCUGAAUAAGAAUCUUGAUAAACAUUUCCUUGGGCAAUAUCAAAUAGAGGCCUAGCUAUCGCUGCAGGAAAACUUCUGGAAACUCUGAGUAGGCAGAACACCGCACUGCUUUUGGAGGAACGUUCCUGGAGUGAGGGACUGGAGAAAUCAAAGCAGUUCAUCGAGAAGAGUAAGCAAAGGGAACGCUUGCUGUGGAUGGCACUGCUGUUUUGCACACCCUAAGGUAAUUGUACCUAAUCCCAUUGAAUGAAUUUUUCAUGCAUAGGUAUACGCGAAGGCAUGUACAUACGCGUAUUUGUUGUGAUUAAAAUCUGUUCUGUCCUCCUUUACCAAGCUGUGUAUGGCAGAUUGCAGCAGAGCCUGGGGAAGGCAAUUAAAGACCCAGAUGAAGACCAGAACAUCAGACGUCCCUCUGGAGCCCACGUGCCCGAACUGCCGUUCCUCCCCACCCUAAUAUAAACAGCGGGGCAAAAGGGCUCAUUUCUCAGCUGCCACUGAGCAGCGUCGGCUGACGGCAGCGCCGGGACCCCCAAAGCCCUGCCCGGACCCCAGGAGGGGCCCGACCUCUCAGCCCUGCUCCCCGCAGGCAUGGGGGGCACAGCUCCAUCUCCGUGCCUGGCAGCGACGUGCCCACGGGCCCCCAGCAGCGAGCAGCCCGGGUUGGACGCUCGUGCUGCAGACCUGCCUCUGCAGAGGUGUUUGCAGCCAUUGGCACGGGCGCUGCAGAGCCGUUGCCUGGCAGCACGCGCGUCCUCUUCCCCGUGACGAGCGCUGAGCGUCGUCUCCAUCGACCCGACCGCCUCCCAGGCUUCAGCUCCCUGCCCGGGAUAGAGAGCCAAAGGCAGCCUGCGUGCGGGAUGCGGAGACCGUUGCGCUAAACCUCACAGGCUUGAAGGCUCAAGCUGCACGAGGGCAGGCAGGAGCUGCUCUCUUCUCACUGACCGUUUGCCAUGACAUGAGAAUGAACAUCGUGCAACAGGCGACCUACAGCUACAGCUCCAUUCUCCACAGCAUCCCCGCCUUGAGCAGUGGCAGUGGCACAGCAAAGCUGGGCAAACCAAGAGGGGCAGGGACCAGCUGCAGGGAGGUGCAGGGAGGCAGCACGGAAGUUCACCCACCUUCAGAUGAAAAGGGAAACCGGUGGUGGGAAGGGCACGAGAGGAGCAAUGGCGCGAUGGGGAUGGGAAUAGCUGCUGAGGCUGGAGGAGGGUGGGGAGGAAGGGCUGCUCCUGCAUCGCCAGCCCCAGCUCUAGCACCAAACACAAGCAUGAGCUGUCACUGCUGUGGAAUGCAGCAGAUGGCCAAAUUGUUAGAUUCUCCCUUGCAAGAGCAAAAUGAUAUACUGUUUUUUACCAUCCUUGCCUGGAGCUGAGUGCUUGCUUCGCAUACCAUGAAGAUAUACUGUACAAAGGUACUUCGUGCCAGAAAUGUGCUCUAGUGAUAAUCAGGAGAAAACUGUGCUUAAAGUGACAUUUAAAAAAUAAUUAUUAUGGUCCAUUGCUGUUAGUCACACGUCCCCAAAGCUGAUCUGGCUAACAGAGCUUUCCAAAGCAUUUUUCCUUGAUAUGUCAUCUGGAAAUUAUGCCAUCGUGCUGUCACCGUGUCUUGCCUUGCAAUCACCCGGACACUAUCUAUGUGCUCACACACACCAGUUUUUUUCCCUCUUUUAGGGGGAAAGAAAUUCUCUUUUCCUUUCUCUGUUUCUCACGCUGCUUUGGCUGUGGUCAUACCGCUUCUUGGCUCAGCCAUUUGCUGGAGAGAAGAGGCCUUACUGCUGCAGUGCUGGCUAUGAAGCACCGCGAUCCCACCUCCCCUUGCUUGAGGCCUCAGCCAGCAGCACUGCUGGGCCCUGAUGUGCCCCGCAGCAGCUGAAGGCUCUGCAGAACCCAGGUCUGUGUACAGAUGCUGCAGAGCUCACCUGCGUCAUACUAAUAUCAGGUGCUUGAAACUUUAUAUUGGAGGCCCAGGGCUGUGAGUGGCGAGUCAUUGCAGCAGGUGUGCUUUGCCAGCUCCAGCUCUGAGCUGACGAUAAGGGAGAGGGGGGAGGCUCUCAAGAGAGCCCUGGCGGAGACUGAAGUGGAAGAGAAAACCCAGAGUGCCUGGUAAGCCUGUUUAUUGAUCCGUCUCAAUGAAUGCAAAACCCAGGGCAAGGAUCAACGUGGUCUGCAAUCAAGUGAAUGGUAGAGAACGAUCAUUUUCUUGUUGAUGUCUUUUGCGUUCCACUGGAUAUGCUUUGUAAGGAUCGUUGUCUGCUGAGUAUAUGGUGCGCUCUCUCUUCCUGACAGUCCUUUAAAACUUGGACACGUUUUGUUUUCUUUAUAUGGAAAGGCUUCAGUGGGUCAUCUGUAAGCUUUGUUUCCAAAGGUGUUAGGAUGUCUUAAACCUUCAUUAUAGCCUGCCUUUCCUUUGCUGCCCAUCUACAGAACACUCCUGCCUGUGUCACUGCGGUUUGUGCUGCAGCAGCACAUCCUCCCUCCUCUCCUUACACUUUCUCUCAUCCCUUUGCUCAGAAGCUCCUGCUAAGCGUCCCACAGCCAUGACACACUGGCCUACCAGCCUCUCAUCUCCAGUGAAACCUCCAAAUCUCCCCUCUGAGGCCCCCAGUAACUUCCUCUCUGAACUUGCUCCUCUGUUUCUCAGUCAUUCCUCCUUCCUGCUCAUUUUGUCUUGUUCUCGGAUGGUUCAACGCUGCUUUCUUCUUCCUGCUCAUCUGGCACCUGGGUCCAUCUCCUAUCUUCCAUUAGCCAAACAUUCCCUCUCUCAUUCUGUCCAAUCUACCCUGAAUCCCCAUCUUCUUCCCUGGCAAAACUAAACUUCCUCCAGCCAGGUAACAAGGGGGAUCUUUUCUGCGCUGAUGUGAAGGCACGCUUUGGCUAGGUAAAGACAUUAAAACACGCAUUUCUGAAUUAUCCUUAAAGCUGCUCAAGGAAUAAAUGCAAGCUGCAGGCUAUUAGAAUAGGUCUGGGGUCUUGUUUUCUCUACUGCCUUACACUCUCACGUCAUCACUGUCUAUGUUCAAGUUGCUUUUAGCAUCUUUACAUUCCUGCUCAUGACAAACAAUAGGGAACAGCUCCCGUAGAGCACAGGAAAUAUAGCAGCAAGUGUCUCGCAUCCAUUUUUCAUCUGUCAUCAAAUAGCUUUUAUUCAUGGCAUAGCACAAGUGUCAGCCAACUGGCAAAGACAGCCUGUAUUAAAAAUGCUGGGGAUUAUUCAUGUCAACAGGCACAAGGGAGCUCUUCUCGGUUGGCGGACCUGCAGCAGCAGUGCUAUGGAAAUGCAGCAGGUCCUCCAGAGUAAUCUCAAAUCUGAACAACUUCAGAAAGAGGCCAACAACUGAUGAUCAUUUCCAAGCACAAUUCAAAAAACAAAAUCUAGCACAAUCAGAUGAGAGCUUGGGUAGAGGGUUAGCUGUGGGUACGCAGGAAAGCUUAUAUCAGAAGCAUGUUAUGUAGAAGGACUAAGGUGAUAUUUUUAUAACAGUGCUUAGAUUGAAGAUGGUCUGCAGGCUGUGAGCUGGUGCUUUCUUCUGGAGUUGACUUCUGGUUAGGUAAUUAUCAGGUAGACGGGGCCUCGGCCCCUCUGAUUGCAGGCCUUGACUGCUUGAACGUAUUGGGAAUGUGAUCUUCACUGGCCAAGUGAUUUGUCUUUUAUGGACAAGGUAUAAUUUAGAAAUCAGUAAUUCUUUUUCCUUUUAGUGAUUUUUUUUUUUUUUAAAGCCCCGUUUCACUGAAAAUCUCUGUUACUAUAUUUGUCAGACCAUUACUAAGGAAAAACAGAACAUAAGAUGGACACAAACAACAAAACUGCUUACCUUAACACAUGAGGUAAUAUAGGAAAAUUACAGAGAUUUCAUAUAUCUCAAGUUAGCUCCGAAGGGCAGUUCCCCAUUGAUUAUUUCAAGCCCGCUGUAUUUGCAAAAUCCUCUAUAUCCUGCCACCUCUUCUUGCCUUUUUGAAUUGUUACUGUUGAAGCGUGUGGCCUGCUUCUCUCCCCCCUCCAUUACUGUGGACUUGUUUCAUUCUCUAAACUGAUGCUAUGUGCAUGUGACAUCAGGAGCAAUGUAAGUGGAAGAUAAAAAGUAAGGCCCGUGCAAGUGAUCACGAAUGAGGUGACCUCAUCUGAUCUGACACAGAUCUACGUUCCACUUAUGCUCCGGAAAAUCUUGGAUGCUGUAUUUUAGUAAAAACCUCAUUUCUGCACAAACGCGUGAUACAGAAGAAGCCCAACCAGCAAAACCUGAAGAUGUAUCCCAUGGCAUCUCCAUGACAACGUAUAGAUGCACAUUCUGCUCCAUACAUCCGCACGGGCAGACGGCUUGCUCUCAGCUCACCCACUACAGAGCUGAAGGCAGGCCAAGGGCUGCUGCAGUGAAAGGUGCUGGGAUUUAAUGUGGAAACUGCAGCUCAUCGUUCACGCAGGAUAAAACUGUGGCAAAUGAAAGAGCCUUCUCAGAGGGUGAGCUGUGUACUCGAGCUCUGGUUGCUGAGCUGCUCGGUGCCAGGGAGGCAUGGUGCUGGCAGGUGUCCGGUGGGCACUGGGAGCCACAUGGAGGCCCUUCGCUAGGCACUCCAAGGCUUUCUGGAGGGCUGUUGCUACACCUCAGUGGCAGAGCUAGAUAAGAACAGGAGGCAGUUUGGGUUAAUGAGUUACUCUAGAGGUUGUUCCCGCCCUGCACAUGCAGGAUGGAGGGCGAGUGAUCCUGUGGAGGCCCCGAGGCAGCAAGUGCCAUCACUGCUCCUCGGGGGCAUGCGGGACACCAGACUGGCCAGCAUCCCCGAGCAGUGACAGCCUCAGUAAAUCCCCUCUCCUGGCUGCCUUCCUACCCUGCCUCAUGCCCUGCCAGUGUGCCUGGCGUCCCACCCACUGAAGCAGCCAAAGCGCUGCAGUUUCACACCCAGCUGAUGAUGCGGGGCUCCUCCAUCCGCUGUGCCCCCAGCACAGCCCCAGCCCGGCUGCUGCAGUGCCCGCAGUGCAGUCUGUGGAGCUGAACCGAUGCCUGCAGCAUUCCAGAGAUAUUUGCUAUAAGCAGGGCGGUGCAUUCAGCUGCCCAACAGAGCAAGGCUGGCUUCUCCAUCCUUGUUUCUGAUAUCUGUGCUGGAACAUGGAAAUUCACCUGCGCCUGUAAGCAAGGCACCUUAAGCAAGUUAGCUCUGCUGCUCAAGUUUCCUUUCCGAGACAUGGAGAUAACAAUACUGACCUUCUUUGCAGAGCACUUUCUUGUUAGUUAUUAUUUUACAAGGCAUGCCACAUAAAGGCUGGUUGUUAUCUUUUGUUCGGCUGUAAAAAGUUCUCAGCCUAACAAUGGGGCAUGGCAUGUUACCAGCCAUAAAAAGAGUUACACUGAUCUUUAGCAUUUAAGAGUGGACCUUUGUUCUGCUUGGUUACUUAUAACCUUUACAGUGGUGUGGCUUAGUCUCUUACCUUUUUUCCUUUUUCCACACUCUGUGUAUAUGUACUGUGUACAUGUGGUUGACUUUUGCUUUUGUCAGGGUCAAAGAUUGCAUUUUUUAGCCUAACAUACCAAUGUCAGCCAAGUGACCAACCUGUGAUCUGCCAUUCAGCACAUUUCCUCUGAAAUAGAAGGAAAAUUAGUUUGCCAACAGACAAGAAGCACGGACGAGAAAACACAGAACCAAAAAGGACUAAAAGGAUUAUGAUCCCUAAGAAAUGAUCUGCCUUCAGCACAUAUUCUAUGAACAUGUCGUGCUGACUGCCAGAACUUGUCCAUACUUUGCAGCUUUCAUCCUGUUGCCAGAGCUGGCAGCUGUUAUCCUGGUUGCCAAUCUUCCUGUCCAGCUGUACAUCCUCCAGCCUGAAAACAUCUUCUUCAGCCUCUCAAGCUGAAGAAAGAGGAAGUAUCUACACUGUACUGGCACCACUACUGACCUUAUCAUAUGUGGAAUAGAUGGCACAGGAUCAGGAGAACAGAAACAGAUCCAUAGUCUCUUGGUGGAGAUGAUUUUGCAGGGCUGUGAUCCAAGCCAGAAGGCUGAGCAGGAGUCCACUUUCCAUGCACAAGCUACCACCGCAGAAAUGAUGUGCAAAAUGGCUCUUUUACUCUUCACUCAAGGCUUUUAAGGACAUUUGCAGACCUUGUACGCAGUGGGAAAGAGGCAGAGGAGGAGAGUGACUGGGCAGCCCUCCCUUCUUUCCAAGUGGAAGCGGCCUAGCAGGCUGUUUUUAUCUCCAGGACUCCUCCUGAAGGACAUGCUGAAUUAAUGCCCCAAGCAGGAGUGCAGCUGAAGGCUCACCGUGCCCUACAGAGAAGUGACAACACAGCCGCAGGUGGCAGGACCCCUCCCUUGGUCUUUGUGCCCUUCAGUGGUGGACGAAGGCUCCAGCGAGGUGUUUGCAGCCUACAGAGGCCAUGAGCACGGUGCCUCUGCCUGUUGGUUCACCAAGCGAAGGCAACAGAGUCAAAGUAGCGGAAGGCCUGUGCACGAUGGGGCUGUGAUACUGGCCUGGGUGAGCAGCUAGCACUAAUUUGAGCAGCCCAAAGGUCACGACUAUUUAUGCAGAUAAAAGGUCAGUGGCAAGCUGGCAGGUGGCUGUGGGCUAUCUUGGUACGCGCUGCGCCCCGGGCGCUGAUGUCUGCGUCUGGUUCACAGUUAGUUUGUCUUUCCACAUGGACUUUCAGGCCAGGUUCUGGCUGAAAUAAAACACAACGGGGAAAGAAAUCUCUGGUCGUGUGAGUUGAUGCUGUUGGGAGACAGCUGCAGUUUUUGUGGCUUGGGCUCAUCUGUAGCUAAAUCAAACCUUUGAAUCAUUAUUUAUAAAAGACAGCCAAAUUCUGAACCGUUUGCUCAGUGUUUAGUCAGCUCUUACAUGGACAAACUCCUGUGAAAGCGUGCGUGAUGGCAGACAAGGGAAAAACUGAAUCAGGUGCCCUGUUGAGAGGCAGCAUGUCUGGCCAGGAACUCCAGCAGCAGUGGGCGUCUGCACUGCAGGUGCCUGGGAAGAAGUCACCUCAGAGGGGCAGGACCUUACAGCACGGCCUGAAUUGCCAGAGCAUGUUCAGGUUAGCUGAAACAACAUCUAGGUGGGCGAAAAAGGGAAGCAAGUAUACUAUGUUUAGUCCAGUCAGAUUCUAUGCUAUGUAUGUUUGAAACUUUUAUAGUCAGUCAGUACCAGUGCCGCAUCCUUUGCUCUCAUUAAAGAGCAAAAAUGCUUUCAACCUUUGGUUCCAGGAGUUGUCUGUCUGCCUAUACCAAUUUUAAACAAAAUCCUUUAAUGUUCUCCUGUAAUUUGGUCCAAUACAGCCUGGUCUCCAAGACAAAAUAUGCAAAAUAUUUUGUGACAUUUCAUUCCCCAAACAAAAGGUAAUGGGAAAACAUCAUUAUAUUGAUUUGUUUUUCAUCACAGAGGUAUUUGGCAGCAUGCCCUAAUUAAGGUUGUAGCAAUAAUUUUAUUAUAAGCACUGCUUUGCCUCCCCUGGUAAUUUUUUAAUAGGAGUUAGCUAUUAGUCUGUUAUUUUGGUUUGCUAAUAAAGAAAAAAAAAAUAUGUUACAAUGGAAACCUCCCAUGUAGAAAGCAACCAAAGCUAGUUGUCUUCAGACCUGGAAAAGCAUUUCUUUUUUUCUGUCUUCCCAUUGGAAUGGAUGACCACUAAAUUCUUCCCUGACUGCUGUCUUCCUAGGCCUGCCCCCACACCCAGGGAAGUUUAAGCAGUGACUUGAGCACCACCUGCUAGGAUGUGUUUUGUCAAGACUGAUAUCUCUAUUAUACCCUUUCUUCACUUCAUAUUUGGCGGACUUGGCUAUAGGCAAACUGAAAUGAAUCUGCAGCAGUGGCAUAGUCUGAUAGGUGAAACAGACUAAUUUGUAUGUGUUUUCCCACUGAAAAUGGCAAAAUUCCAGCCACUGAACGUUCACGAGUAUUCUGCUCAUUGUGUUCAAGCCAAAAAGUCUCCACAGGACAUUAGGGUUUGACCCGAUGUCCGCAGACACGCUGCACACAACCCAAGUGUGGUGGCACACUGGGUGGCCAUGCAGGACUUCCCUUCGAUGGAGCCUUCUGGCCCACCAGUGGGAGUGCAGGUGACUCCUGCAGACUUUCUCUCAAAUCUCUUUGGAGGAAAUUAAAAUAAGCCUUUGCAGAAACUGGAGGAAUCGGAAUGCACCCAGCCAUUUUCUGGAUUUAAUGCUACCUCUUGUGUUAUUGUCUUCAGUCUCUGAAAAACAGAACUGUCCAGUAGAUAAUGACUGUUAGAUUACUAAUUAGCACAUUUCUGUUAUCUUGGAGCAAAUACAUUUUUUAUGCUUUCCCUCCUAUUAAAGUAUUUCAGAAAACAAAACAGAAAAAGCAAAAUCUAAUUCAUAAUCGAGUGUUAUGGGCCAUCAAUUCUUGUAUUUCAAGAACAUAGGCUGGAAAGGGGAACGUCUGCUGCUCCUGCCCAGGGUACCCUCCCACAUUCUGCAUCUCCAAGGAGAGACUGUUCCAGCAGGAUGAGCUGGUAUAGCGAG